rnacentral:tRNA from 1 species
ACGAAGGUGAGAAAGGAGUUCAAGGUGUCGCUCACGACGACGCCGACCGCGUCCGAGGGACCGUUGUUCCGCACGGUGAUCUCGUA